rnacentral:rRNA from 1 species
GUAGGGAAUAUUGCGCAAUGGACGCAAGUCUGACGCAGCAACGCCGCGUGGGUGAUGAAGCUCCUUGGAGUGUAAAACCCUGUCAGUGGGGAAGAAACGUAUGAGUAGUAACUGACUCGUACCUGACGGUACCCACAGAGGAAGUCCCGGCUAACUCCGUGCCAGCAGCCGCGGUAAUACGGGGGGGACGAGCGUUGUUCGGAUUUACUGGGCGUAAAGGGCGCGUAGGCGGACCUUCAAGUCGGGUGUGAAACCUGUCGGCUUAACUGACAGCCUGCACUUGAUACUGUUGGCCUUGAGUACAGGAGAGGAGAGCGGAAUUCCUGGUGUAGCGGUGAAAUGCGUAGAUAUCAGGAAGAACACCGGUUGCGAAGGCGGCUCUCUGGACUGAUACUGACGCUUAAGCGCGAAGGCUUGGGGAGCAAACAGGAUUAGAAACCCUUGUAGUCC